rnacentral:rRNA from 1 species
AGUGAACGCUGGCGGUAGGCCUAACACAUGCAAGUCGAACGGCAGCACAGUAAGAGCUUGCUCUUACGGGUGGCGAGUGGCGGACGGGUGAGGAAUACAUCGGAAUCUACUUUUUCGUGGGGGAUAACGUAGGGAAACUUACGCUAAUACCGCAUACGACCUACGGGUGAAAGCAGGGGAUCUUCGGACCUUGCGCGAUUGAAUGAGCCGAUGUCGGAUUAGCUAGUUGGCGGGGUAAAGGCCCACCAAGGCGACGAUCCGUAGCUGGUCUGAGAGGAUGAUCGGCCACACUGGAACUGAAACACGGUCCAGACUCCUACGGGAGGCAGCAGUGGGGAAUAUUGGACAAUGGGCGCAAGCCUGAUCCAGCCAUACCGCGUGGGUGAAGAAGGCCUUCGGGUUGUAAAGCCCUUUUGUUGGGAAAGAAAAGCAGCAGGUUAAUACCCCGCUGUUCUGACGGUACCCAAAGAAUAAGCACCGGCUAACUUCGUG